rnacentral:rRNA from 1 species
UUGAAGAGUUUGAUCAUGGCUCAGAUUGAACGCUGGCGGCAGGCCUAACACAUGCAAGUCGAGCGGUAGCACAGAGAGCUUGCUCUCGGGUGACGAGCGGCGGACGGGUGAGUAAUGUCUGGGAAACUGCCUGAUGGAGGGGGAUAACUACUGGAAACGGUAGCUAAUACCGCAUAACGUCGCAAGACCAAAGUGGGGGACCUUCGGGCCUCAUGCCAUCAGAUGUGCCCAGAUGGGAUUAGCUAGUAGGUGGGGUAACGGCUCACCUAGGCGACGAUCCCUAGCUGGUCUGAGAGGAUGACCAGCCACACUGGAACUGAGACACGGUCCAGACUCCUACGGGAGGCAGCAGUGGGGAAUAUUGCACAAUGGGCGCAAGCCUGAUGCAGCCAUGCCGCGUGUGUGAAGAAGGCCUUCGGGUUGUAAAGCACUUUCAGCGGGGAGGAAGGCGAUAAGGUUAAUAACCUUGUCGAUUGACGUUACCCGCAGAAGAAGCACCGGCUAACUCCGUGCCAGCAGCCGCGGUAAUACGGAGGGUGCAAGCGUUAAUCGGAAUUACUGGGCGUAAAGCGCACGCAGGCGGUCUGUCAAGUCGGAUGUGAAAUCCCCGGGCUUAACCUGGGAACUGCAUUCGAAACUGGCAGGCUAGAGUCUUGUAGAGGGGGGUAGAAUUCCAGGUGUAGCGGUGAAAUGCGUAGAGAUCUGGAGGAAUACCGGUGGCGAAGGCGGCCCCCUGGACAAAGACUGACGCUCAGGUGCGAAAGCGUGGGGAGCAAACAGGAUUAGAUACCCUGGUAGUCCACGCCGUAAACGAUGUCGAUUUGGAGGUUGUGCCCUUGAGGCGUGGCUUCCGGAGCUAACGCGUUAAAUCGACCGCACGGGAGUACGGCCGCAAGGUUAAAACUCAAAUGAAUUGACGGGGGCCCGCACAAGCGGUGGAGCAUGUGGUUUAAUUCGAUGCAACGCGAAGAACCUUACCUGGUCUUGACAUCCACAGAACUUUCCAGAGAUGGAUUGGUGCCUUCGGGAACUGUGAGACAGGUGCUGCAUGGCUGUCGUCAGCUCGUGUUGUGAAAUGUUGGGUUAAGUCCCGCAACGAGCGCAACCCUUAUCCUUUGUUGCCAGCGGUUCGGCCGGGAACUCAAAGGAGACUGCCAGUGAUAAACUGGAGGAAGGUGGGGAUGACGUCAAGUCAUCAUGGCCCUUACGACCAGGGCUACACACGUGCUACAAUGGCAUAUACAAAGAGAAGCGACCUCGCGAGAGCAAGCGGACCUCAUAAAGUAUGUCGUAGUCCGGAUUGGAGUCUGCAACUCGACUCCAUGAAGUCGGAAUCGCUAGUAAUCGUAGAUCAGAAUGCUACGGUGAAUACGUUCCCGGGCCUUGUACACACCGCCCGUCACACCAUGGGAGUGGGUUGCAAAAGAAGUAGGUAGCUUAACCUUCGGGAGGGCGCUUACCACUUUGUGAUUCAUGACUGGGGUGAAGUCGUAACAAGGUAACCGUAGGGGAACCUGCGGUUGGAUCACCUCCUU